AUUGAACGCUGGCGGCAGGCCUAACACAUGCAAGUCGAGCGGAUGAAGGGAGCUUGCUCCUGGAUUCAGCGGCGGACGGGUGAGUAAUGCCUAGGAAUCUGCCUGGUAGUGGGGGAUAACGUCCGGAAACGGGCGCUAAUACCGCAUACGUCCUGAGGGAGAAAGUGGGGGAUCUUCGGACCUCACGCUAUCAGAUGAGCCUAGGUCGGAUUAGCUAGUUGGUGGGGUAAAGGCCUACCAGGGCGACGAUCCGUAACUGGUCUGAGAGGAUGAUCAGUCACACUGGAACUGAGACACGGUCCAGACUCCUACGGGAGGCAGCAGUGGGGAAUAUUGGACAAUGGGCGAAAGCCUGAUCCAGCCAUGCCGCGUGUGUGAAGAAGGUCUUCGGAUUGUAAAGCACUUUAAGUUGGGAGGAAGGGCAGUAAGUUAAUACCUUGCUGUUUUGACGUUACCAACAGAAUAAGCACCGGCUAACUUCGUG
rnacentral:rRNA from 1 species